CGUGCUUAACACAUGCAAGUCGAACGGUGAUGACCAGCUUGCUGGUCGGAUCAGUGGCGAACGGGUGAGUAACACGUGAGUAACCUGCCCCAGACUCUGGGAUAAGCCUUGGAAACGAGGUCUAAUACUGGAUAUGAGAUGCCCCUGCAUGGGGAGUGUCUGGAAAGAUUUAUCGGUCUGGGAUGGACUCGCGGCCUAUCAGCUUGUUGGUGGGGUAAUGGCCUACCAAGGCGACGACGGGUAGCCGGCCUGAGAGGGCGACCGGCCACACUGGGACUGAGACACGGCCCAGACUCCUACGGGAGGCAGCAGUGGGGAAUAUUGCACAAUGGGCGCAAGCCUGAUGCAGCGACGCCGCGUGAGGGAUGAAGGCCUUCGGGUUGUAAACCUCUUUCAGCAGGGAAGAAGCGCAAGUGACGGUACCUGCAGAAGAAGCGCCGGCUAACUACGUGCCAGCAGCCGCGGUAAUACGUAGGGCGCAAGCGUUGUCCGGAAUUAUUGGGCGUAAAGAGCUCGUAGGCGGUUUGUCGCGUCUGGUGUGAAAACUCAAGGCUCAACCUUGAGCUUGCAUCGGGUACGGGCAGACUAGAGUGCGGUAGGGGUGACUGGAAUUCCUGGUGUAGCGGUGGAAUGCGCAGAUAUCAGGAGGAACACCGAUGGCGAAGGCAGGUCACUGGGCCGCAACUGACGCUGAGGAGCGAAAGCAUGGGGAGCGAACAGGAUUAGAUACCCUGGUAGUCCAUGCCGUAAACGUUGGGCACUAGGUGUG
rnacentral:rRNA from 1 species